AUUGAACGCUGGCGGCAUGCUUUACACAUGCAAGUCGAACGGUAACAGGCCUUCGGGCGCUGACGAGUGGCGAACGGGUGAGUAAUGCGUCGGAACGUGCCCAGUCGUGGGGGAUAACUAUCCGAAAGGGUAGCUAAUACCGCAGACGAUCUGCGGAUGAACGCGGGGGACCUUCGGGCCUCGCGCGAUUGGAGCGGGCGAUGUCAGAUUAGGUAGUUGGUGGGGUAAAGGCUCACCAAGCCAGCGAUCUGUAGCUGGUCUGAGAGGACGACCAGCCACACUGGGACUGAGACACGGCCCAGACUCCUACGGGAGGCAGCAGUGGGGAAUUUUGGACAAUGGGCGCAAGCCUGAUCCAGCAAUGCCGCGUGCAGGAAGAAGGCCUUCGGGUUGUAAACUGCUUUUGUACGGAACGAAACGGCUCUGGUUAAUACCCGGGGCUAAUGACGGUACCGUAAGAAUAAGCACCGGCUAACUACGUGCCAGCCGCCGCGGUAAAAC
rnacentral:rRNA from 1 species